rnacentral:ncRNA from 2 species
GGAGGAUGGCGCGCAGGAGGUUCCUCCCCUUCACGGGGAGGACGCAAGGAGGAAAGGCGGUGCGGGGUGACCCAAGUCCGCCGCUGUCCCGCAGCUGUGAUGGACACCGUGGCCCCCCGCCCCGGCGUCCUCAGUCAGAACGCUCACCCCCCACGACACCAUUCC